rnacentral:rRNA from 1 species
GGUGCGUAACGCGUAGGUAAUGUACCUCUUGGUGGGGAAUAACCUUGGGAAACCAGGGCUAAUACCGCAUACGGUCCUUCGGGAUGAAAGCAGCAAUGCGCCGAGAGAGCAGCCUGCGUCCCAUUAUUUAUUCCUAGUUGGUGAGGUAACGGCUCACCAAGGGUACGAUGGGUAGCUGGUCUGAGAGGAUGAUCAGCCACACUGGAACUGAGACACGGUCCAGACUCC